AUUUAUAAAAACUCUAACCCCCUCUUAAUAAUUACCGAUACAUGCAUCAUUGCUAGAUUCAGCGAACUCAUUAAAUAAAGAGUGAGUCCUCCUGCAUCAAAGGUCUUUAAUAUUUCGUGUUCAACGAAAAAUUGGGCGGGGUUUACAAUUUUUCAUUAUUGAUUGCGCGACGAAGGAUAAGUUGCGUGACGAAUAGAGCUCUCACCCUCUCUCGAACCCAGUUCUCUCGAACCCAGUUCUCUCUCGCCCUCUCUCGAACCCAGUUCUCUCUCGCCCUCUCUCACUCACUCUCAUUGUCGCAUCACCCUCCCCGCCGCAUCAUCGCUUCCAGCUCUCACUCCUCCGCCGCAUCACCACCUCUAUCACCAUCUUAAGUUGAUUUCCCAGCGUUGGGCAUUUAGGGUGUCCCCUUGGGCACCUGCUGCUUGGGCCACCACUGCUCCACCGACAGUUUACUCGACGCUGGUUGCUUCGGUACCUCCUUUUGUGCCCUCAAUGUCUAAGGCUCCCACAUCAUCGACUUCUUUGGUGAAGCAUCCACCGAUGAAUGCACUCAUCGACGCCCCCGCACUACCGUCCAGUUGGAGUGGUUUGCCUCGACAUCAAUUGUCAAGGGAGAGGGAUCCUAAAUAGUUUAGAAAAAUACUAGGAGGUCAUGCAAACUUUUGAAGACCUCGAAGGUCAUGCGCACUCCAAAAGACAAGAUCAAAUUACUUGGGAUCCUUAACAUCAUGCAACCGCUAUCAAGGAGCAGCAUAGCGCGUUGUUUUCGAUGUUGGGUCUGUUGUUUGGUCGGAGCCAUUGCCCUGUCCAAUGGGAGUCUUAGAGCAAGCCCAGCGUGGUUUUUAGCUCGGGGGAAGGUGGAUAGAACAAGGGCCCGAGGGCCAGGGGAUCAGCUCCAGCGUGGGCUAGCCUGACCGAAGGUGGAGGCCCGAGCUCCGGGCCCGUGGGGGAUUGCCAGCCCGAGAGCCUGAGGCCAUGUGACGUCAACGCUGACGUCAGCAUGGCGUCAGGCAAUAUUAAAUUUUUUUUGUGUCAGGCGCGUGCACCCCACUCGCGCGUGGGGGCGCGUCGCCGACACAAAAUCAGAAAAAAAAAAAGUUUGUCAGUUACCGUUGGGAAGCCACGUGGCUUCCCACGGUCCGUUAGAUGUCAACGGUUACUUAAUUUGGACCGUUCAAUCUCAACGGUCAAAAAAAAUAAAAAAGUCAGAUUUAAUAUCCACCGUUCGAUCUGAGAUCAAUGGUGGAUAUUAAUAUUCUUUAUAAAUAAAAAAAUAAAAGAAAAAAUAGUUUUAAAAUUAAGAAAA